rnacentral:rRNA from 1 species
CUAUGCGCCUUGCCCAGCCCGCUCAGGUGUGCCAGCCGCCGCGGUAAUACAGAGGUCUCAAGCGUUGUUCGGAAUCACUGGGCGUAAAGCGUGCGUAGGCGGUUUCGUAAGUCGUGUGUGAAAGGCGGGGGCUCAACCCCCGGACUGCACAUGAUACUGCGAGACUAGAGUAAUGGAGGGGGAACCGGAAUUCUCGGUGUAGCAGUGAAAUGCGUAGAUAUCGAGAGGAACACUCGUGGCGAAGGCGGGUUCCUGGACAUUAACUGACGCUGAGGCACGAAGGCCAGGGAGCGAAAGGG